GACGUAGGGGGCCAGCGUUGUUCGGAAUUACUGGGUGUAAAGGGUUCGUAGGCGGUGUGGCAAGUCGGGAGUGAAAUCUCUGGGCUCAACUCAGAGGCUGCUUUCGAAACUGCCGUGCUAGAGUGCGGGAGAGGCGCGUGGAAUUGCAGGUGUAGCGGUGAAAUGCGUAGAUAUCUGCAGGAACACCCGUGGCGAAAGCGGCGCGCUGGACCGUUACUGACGCUGAGGAACGAAAGCUAGGGGAGCAAACAGG
rnacentral:rRNA from 1 species